rnacentral:rRNA from 1 species
UACGGGGGGGGCAAGCGUUGUUCGGAAUUACUGGGCGUAAAGGGCGCGUAGGCGGUGUGUCAAGUCAGGCGUGAAAGCCCCGGGCUCAACCUGGGAACCGCGCUUGAGACUGGCACGCUCGAGUUCGGGAGAGGAUGGUGGAAUUCCCAGUGUAGAGGUGAAAUUCGUAGAUAUUGGGAAGAACACCGAUGGCGAAGGCAGCCAUCUGGACCGACACUGACGCUGAGGCGCGAAAGCGUGGGGAGCAAACAGG